GCGGUCGUGGCGGAAUUGGUAGACGCACCAGCUUGAGGUGCUGGCGGGGCAACCCGUGGAGGUUCGAGUCCUCUCGACCGCACCA
rnacentral:tRNA from 1 species